rnacentral:rRNA from 1 species
UACGGAGGGUGCAAGCGUUAAUCGGAAUUACUGGGCGUAAAGCGUGCGCAGGCGGUUCGUUGUGUCGGCGGUGAAAGCCCCGGGCUCAACCUGGGAAUGGCCGUUGAAACUGGCGAACUGGAGUGUGGCAGAGGGGGGUGGAAUUCCGCGUGUAGCAGUGAAAUGCGUAGAGAUGCGGAGGAACACCGAUGGCGAAGGCAGCCCCCUGGGCUGACACUGACGCUCAGGCACGAGAGCGUGGGGAGCAAACCGG